GAUGAACGCUGGCGGCGUGCCUAAUACAUGCAAGUCGAGCGAACAGAUGAGGAGCUUGCUCCUCUGACGUUAGCGGCGGACGGGUGAGUAACACGUGGAUAACCUACCUAUAAGACUGGGAUAACUUCGGGAAUCCGGAGCUAAUACCGGAUAAUAUAUUGAACCGCAUGGUUCAAUAGUGAAAGACGGUUUUGCUGUCACUUAUAGAUGGAUCCGCGCCGCAUUAGCUAGUUGGUAAGGUAACGGCUUACCAAGGCGACGAUGCGUAGCCGACCUGAGAGGGUGAUCGGCCACACUGGAACUGAGACACGGUCCAGACUCCUACGGGAGGCAGCAGUAGGGAAUCUUCCGCAAUGGGCGAAAGCCUGACGGAGCAACGCCGCGUGAGUGAUGAAGGUCUUCGGAUCGUAAAACUCUGUUAUUAGGGAAGAACAAAUGUGUAAGUAACUAUGCACGUCUUGACGGUACCUAAUCAGAAAGCCACGGCUAACUACGUG
rnacentral:rRNA from 1 species